rnacentral:ribozyme from 15 species
AAAAAGUACAAUAGAAACAGUUCCGUUUUCAACAGAAAAUACGCAAUAAUGGCUGUUCUUUUCCUUUUUUUCAAUUUUGCUUUUUGUUUUUAUUUGUGUGUUUUGUGUGUGUCA